GGGAGUCUGUAGUCCUGCGCAGCGCGGACUCCGGAGCAGGACAGGUGAGCUCCACAACUAUCAGUGGAGUUGGUAGGCAAUGCUAACUGGCAGUGGUGCAGUAGGAUCUACCUGUGGUGUGAGUUUCAUCAUGUAAGGAAGAGGUGGAGAAAGAAGCUGAUGGAGACUGAUGGGACUGAAGGAGCAGGUCUGAUGGAGACAAUUUUAUUCACACUGGCUAAAUACCCAUGUUUACGACUGGGCCGCUGUGGGACCACCUCUGCUUCUCUACUUUCAAUCUCCUCAAGAUUCCUCAUUUCUUCGUGCACAAAAGGUUAGUCAGAGUUGAUCAGGAGGUGGUGAGUGACUACACUGAUCUGUGGCAUUUGGAAAGACCAUUGAAUACUAAUGCGCAAUGAUAGUGGA